CUCCUAGAUGUUCUGGGCUGCACGCGCACUACAAUGGUGGCUAAAACGAGCACUCCGAAUCUUCGGCCCUGGUCCGAAAGGACUGGGAAAUCUUUGGAACAGCCACCGUGACUGGGAUAGAUGAUUGCAAUUAUUCGCCCUGAACGAGGAAUGCCUAGUACAGGCAGGUCAUCAGCCUGCCUGGACUACGUCCCUGUCAUUUGUACACACCGCCCGUCGUUGCUACCGAUGGUAGUCGAAUAGAGGUGUUGGGAGGGUGCCAUUACCGUUCUACGGUUCUGGUCGUCCGAACUCCACCGAUAUUUGUCUACUAGAGGAAGCAAAAGUCGUAACA
rnacentral:rRNA from 1 species